CCGCAUCUUAUCCUCCCUGGUCUCGGAUUCGCUGCAGACAUCGUUUGCAGCCAUUUCUGCUGGUUUUACUGCCAGUUGCGAAGGGUUUUGACACUUUCCCGGUUUGAUGUAUUCAGACUCGAUCAUGCUGGAAAGUGGUGCCCUCAGCGUCUCAAUCAGCCAAUGCUUGAAGGUACAACUGAAAAUGAUUUUGCAGACGUGAAAAUUACCUCUUUAAGAUGUUCCAUUUAAUUAACAGGUGCAUUUUAACCUUAAGGUUUCUGUCCUGGCUCAAUUCUUAAUUUCACCCAGAGAUGUUUGACGUGGAAGGAGUGAUGUUUUAGCUGGAUGUGUGUUCUGAUCCUUUUGGCCAAGAGGACUUGAAUAUAAGGUUCAUUGUAUGUACAUUGGGAAGAUGUUGAAUCAAGAUCUUGAUGGCAGCUGGCAACCAGGAUUCUUCUUGUAUCUAUAACUACAAAUGGAGCUUGGUUUAUUCAAUUCCUUCAUCGGCAAUAUAUGAAACUAAUAAAAACUUUAUUUAA